CAGUCGCCACGGUAAUACAGAGGGUGCGAGCGUUAAUCGGAUUUACUGGGCGUAAAGCGCACGCAGGCGGUUUGUUAAGUCAGAUGUGAAAUCCCCGAGCUUAACUUGGGAACUGCAUUUGAAACUGGCAAGCUAGAGUCUUGUAGAGGGGGGUAGAAUUCCAGGUGUAGCGGUGAAAUGCGUAGAGAUCUGGAGGAAUACCGGUGGCGAAGGCGGCCCCCUGGACAAAGACUGACGCUCAGGUGCGAAAGCGUGGGGAGCAAACAGGAUUAGAUACCCCAGUAGUCCCUGUCUCUUAUAC
rnacentral:rRNA from 1 species